rnacentral:rRNA from 1 species
AUUGAACGCUGGCGGCAGGCUUAACACAUGCAAGUCGAACGAUGAUUAUCUAGCUUGCUAGAUAUGAUUAGUGGCGGACGGGUGAGUAACAUUUAGGAAUCUGCCUAGUAGUGGGGGAUAGCUCGGGGAAACUCGAAUUAAUACCGCAUACGACCUACGGGUGAAAGGGGGCGCAAGCUCUUGCUAUUAGAUGAGCCUAAAUCAGAUUAGCUAGUUGGUGGGGUAAAGGCCCACCAAGGCGACGAUCUGUAACUGGUCUGAGAGGAUGAUCAGUCACACCGGAACUGAGACACGGUCCGGACUCCUACGGGAGGCAGCAGUGGGGAAUAUUGGACAAUGGGGGCAACCCUGAUCCAGCCAUGCCGCGUGUGUGAAGAAGGCCUUUUGGUUGUAAAGCACUUUAAGCAGGGAGGAGAGGCUAAUGGUUAAUACCCAUUAGAUUAGACGUUACCUGCAGAAUAAGCACCGGCUAACUCUGUGCCAGCAGCCGCGGUAAUACAGAGGGUGCGAGCGUUAAUCGGAAUUACUGGGCGUAAAGCGAGUGUAGGUGGCUCAUUAAGUCACAUGUGAAAUCCCCGGGCUUAACCUGGGAACUGCAUGUGAUACUGGUGGUGCUAGAAUAUGUGAGAGGGAAGUAGAAUUCCAGGUGUAGCGGUGAAAUGCGUAGAGAUCUGGAGGAAUACCGAUGGCGAAGGCAGCUUCCUGGCAUAAUAUUGACACUGAGAUUCGAAAGCGUGGGUAGCAAACAGGAUUAGAUACCCUGGUAGUCCACGCCGUAAACGAUGUCUACUAGCCGUUGGGGUCCUUGAGACUUUAGUGGCGCAGUUAACGCGAUAAGUAGACCGCCUGGGGAGUACGGCCGCAAGGUUAAAACUCAAAUGAAUUGACGGGGGCCCGCACAAGCGGUGGAGCAUGUGGUUUAAUUCGAUGCAACGCGAAGAACCUUACCUGGUCUUGACAUAGUGAGAAUCCUGCAGAGAUGCGGGAGUGCCUUCGGGAAUUCACAUACAGGUGCUGCAUGGCUGUCGUCAGCCCGUGUCGUGAGAUGUUGGGUUAAGUCCCGCAACGAGCGCAACCCUUUUCCUUAUUUGCCAGCGGGUUAAGCCGGGAACUUUAAGGAUACUGCCAGUGACAAACUGGAGGAAGGCGGGGACGACGUCAAGUCAUCAUGGCCCUUACGACCAGGGCUACACACGUGCUACAAUGGUAGGUACAGAGGGUUGCUACACAGCGAUGCGAUGCUAAUCUCAAAAAGCCUAUCGUAGUCCGGAUUGGAGUCUGCAACUCGACUCCAUGAAGUCGGAAUCGCUAGUAAUCGCAGAUCAGAAUGCUGCGGUGAAUACGUUCCCGGGCCU